rnacentral:rRNA from 1 species
GACGAACGCUGGCGGCGUGCUUAACACAUGCAAGUCGAACGGAAAGGCCUUUUCGGAGGUACUCGAGUGGCGAACGGGUGAGUAACACGUGGGUGAUCUGCCCUGCACUCUGGGAUAAGCCUGGGAAACUGGGUCUAAUACCGGAUAGGACCGCACUUUAGUGUGUGUGGUGGAAAGUUUUUUCGGUGUAGGAUGAGCCCGCGGCCUAUCAGCUUGUUGGUGGGGUAAUGGCCUACCAAGGCGGCGACGGGUAGCCGGACUGAGAGGUUGGUCGGCCACAUUGGGACUGAGAUACGGCCCAGACUCCUACGGGAGGCAGCAGUGGGGAAGAUUGCACAAUGGGCGCAAGCCUGAUGCAGCGACGCCGCGUGGGGGAUGACGGCCUUCGGGUUGUAAACUCCUUUCGCCAGGGACGAAGCGUUUUGUGACGGUACCUGGAGAAGAAGCACCGGCUAACUACGUG